rnacentral:lncRNA from 1 species
CUACGCUGUGCAGCUCAAACGCGGCCGUGGCCGUGGCCGUAUUGCGGGGCCGAGGCCUUAAAAGGCUGGACCCGCACUCACCCUUACUUCACAAGCUCCUCCCUGAAAGCAAAACGGGCCUUCUGAGACCAGGAACGAACUCAAUCCCGAGUUGGCCAGGAUCCAGGUGGGCCAGCCGCGCGUCUCUUGCCCGGCACCUAGCUCGGUUCCCACGGAAAGACCCCCGUCUCUCGUCCCAAGCCCCACAGGGUCCCCUCGCCGCAGGAUGCCCCCCGAUUGUCGCGCCCGGGC